GGAUUCCCUUAGUAACUGCGAGUGAAGAGGGAAUAGCUCAAUGUGUGAAUCAGGUCGGGAUUAGCUCCUUGCUCGAGUUGUACACUACAGACGGCGGAUCAGCGCUUGGGAGGUCGAGGUGGAUGUCCGAUGAAACUCGGUGCCAUUGAGGGUCAUAGUCCUGUACUUGCCUUGUUACCUCCCGCGCCUUUGACCGACGCUCUGCGAGUCGCGUAGUUUUGUAUUGCUGCGCUAAUCGGGAGGUAGAGCCCUUCUAAAGCUAAAUAUGAUGACAUGACCGAUAGCAUACAAGUACCGCGAGGGAAAGGUGAAAAGCAACCAUGCAGAAUGGGUUGAAACAGAAGUGAAAGCGCUACUGGGAUAAGGGCUGGGGACUGCUUGUGUCGCUUGCGCGUGCUUUAGUGCUGUGCUUGUGAACGGCAUGCUUCAAUUGGGAUGGGGAGAACAGGGCCUCGGGAAUUCGGCCGGAUCCGUCCGGUGUUGCAGCCCGGGUGCCAAUGGAGCCCCUCCCGACUGUUGAAUUUCCUGCGUUGCAACCGCCUCUUGAACACGAACCAGGA
rnacentral:rRNA from 1 species